rnacentral:rRNA from 1 species
UAAGGAAUAUUGGUCAAUGGGCGCAAGCCUGAACCAGCCAUGCCGCGUGCAGGAAGACGGCCCUAUGGGUUGUAAACUGCUUUUGUCAGGGAAUAAACCCCCGCUCGUGAGCGGGGCUGAAGGUACCUGAAGAAUAAGCAUCGGCUAACUCCGUGCCAGCAGCCGCGGUAAUACGGAGGAUGCAAGCGUUAUCCGGAUUCAUUGGGUUUAAAGGGUGCGCAGGCGGAUUGGUAAGUCAGGGGUGAAAUCCCACAGCUCAACUGUGGAAUUGCGUUUGAGAGUGGCAGACUAGAGUAUAGUUGGAGUGGACAGAAGGUGGCAUGUAGCGGGCAAAGGCUUAGAUAUGACACAGCAAACCGAUCGAGAAGGCAGCUCGCUAAGCUAUAGCUGACGCUCAUGCACGAAAGCGUGGGGA